GUGGGGAAUAUUGGACAAUGGGGGGAACCCUGAUCCAGCCAUGCCGCGUGUGUGAAGAAGGUCUUCGGAUUGUAAAGCACUUUAAGUUGGGAGGAAGGGCAGUAAGUUAAUACCUUGCUGUUUUGACGUUACCAACAGAAUAAGCACCGGCUAACUUCGUGCCAGCAGCCGCGGUAAUACGAAGGGUGCAAGCGUUAAUCGGAAUUACUGGGCGUAAAGCGCGCGUAGGUGGUUCAGCAAGUUGAAGGUGAAAUCCCCGGGCUCAACCUGGGAACUGCCUCCAAAACUACUGAGCUAGAGUACGGUAGAGGGUAGUGGAAUUUCCUGUGUAGCGGUGAAAUGCGUAGAUAUAGGAAGGAACACCAGUGGCGAAGGCGACUACCUGGACUGAUACUGACACUGAGGUGCGAAAGCGUGGGGAGCAAACAGGAUUAGAUACCCGUGUAGUCC
rnacentral:rRNA from 1 species